UCUAAUAUGGCAGAAUAGUGCAGUGGAUUUAAGCUCCACAAAUAAAGUUUAACACUUUUUUUUAGAA
rnacentral:tRNA from 1 species